rnacentral:rRNA from 1 species
AAAGGAAUUGACGGAAGGGCACCACCAGGGGUGGAGCCUGCGGCUUAAUUUGACUCAACACGGGGAAACUCACCAGGUCCAGACACAAUGAGGAUUGACAGAUUGAGAGCUCUUUCUUGAUUUUGUGGGUGGUGGUGCAUGGCCGUUCUUAGUUGGUGGAGUGAUUUGUCUGCUUAAUUGCGAUAACGAACGAGACCUUAACCUGCUAAAUAGCCCGUACUGCUCCGGCAGUGCGCCGGCUUCUUAGAGGGACUAUCGGCUCAAGCCGAUGGAAGUUUGAGGCAAUAACAGGUCUGUGAUGC